UGGGGAAUAUUGGACAAUGGGCGAAAGCCUGAUCCAGCCAUGCCGCAUGAGUGAAGAAGGCUUUUGGGUUGUAAAGCUCUUUUAGUGAGGAAGAUAAUGACGGUACUCACAGAAGAAGUCCUGGCUAACUCCGUGCCAGCAGCCGCGGUAAUACGGAGAGGGCUAGCGUUAUUCGGAAUUAUUGGGCGUAAAGGGCGCGUAGGCUGGUUAGUAAGUUAAAAGUGAAAUCCCGAGGCUUAACCUUGGAACUGCUUUUAAAACUGCUAACCUAGAGAUUGAAAGAGGAUAGAGGAAUUCCUAGUGUAGAGGUGAAAUUCGUAAAUAUUAGGAGGAACACCAGUGGCGAAGGCGUCUAUCUGGUUCAAAUCUGACGCUGAGGCGCGAAGGCGUGGGGAGCAAACA
rnacentral:rRNA from 1 species